AUUGAACGCUGGCGGCAUGCUUUACACAUGCAAGUCGAACGGUAACAGGCCUUCGGGUGCUGACGAGUGGCGAACGGGUGAGUAAUGCAUCGGAACGUGCCCAGAGGUGGGGGAUAACGCAGCGAAAGCUGUGCUAAUACCGCAUGUGAUCUGAGGAUGAAAGCGGGGGACCAGGCAGCAAUGUUUGGCCUCGCGCCUUUGGAGCGGCCGAUGUCAGAUUAGGUAGUUGGUGGGGUAAAGGCCUACCAAGCCGACGAUCUGUAGCUGGUCUGAGAGGACGACAGCCCACCCUGGGGCUGAGCACCGGCCACGCCCCCUACGGGGGGCAGCGGGGGGGAAUUUUGGAAAAGGGGGGCAACCCGGUUCCACCAAUGCCGGGGGCGGGAAGAAGGCCUUCGGGUUGUAAACCGUUUUUUGAGGGAACGAAAAGGCUUUGGCAAAACCCUGGGGCUAAUACCGGAACCGAAAGAAAAAGCACGGGCAACCUCCGU
rnacentral:rRNA from 1 species